rnacentral:rRNA from 7 species
CCCCAUAAACGAGGAAUUCCUAGUAAGCGCGAGUCAUAAGCUCGCGUUGAUUACGUCCCUGCCCUUUGUACACACCGCCCGUCGCUACUACCGAUUGAAUGAUUUAGUGAGGUCUUCGGACCGACACGCGGUGGCUUCACGGCCGUCGGCGUUGCUGGGAAGUUGACCAAACUUGAUCAUUUAGAGGAAGUAAAAGUCGUAACAAGGUUUCCGUAGGGGAACCUGCGGAAGGAUCAUUA